rnacentral:rRNA from 1 species
UACGUAGGGGGCAAGCGUUGUCCGGAAUUAUUGGGCGUAAAGCGCGUGUAGGCGGUCCGGUAAGUCGGUUGUGAAAGUCCGGGGCUCAACCCUGGGAUGCCGACCGAUACUGUCGGACUAGAGUUCGGAAGAGGCGAGUGGAAUUCCCGGUGUAGCGGUGAAAUGCGCAGAUAUCGGGAGGAACACCAAUGGCGAAGGCAGCUCGCUGGGACGUUACUGACGCUGAGACGCGAAAGCGUGGGGAGCAAACAGG